GGCGUACCUUUUGUAUAAUGGGUCAGCGACUUAUAUUCUGUAGCAAGGUUAACCGAAUAGGGGAGCCGUAGGGAAACCGAGUCUUAAUAGGGCGUCUAGUUGCAGGGUAUAGACCCGAAACCGAGUGAUCUAUCCAUGAGCAGGUUGAAAGUGACGUAACAGUUACCGGAGGACCGAACCCACUGUCGUUGAAAAGCCAGGGGAUGACUUGUGGAUAGGGGUGAAAGGCUAAUCAAACUCGGUGAUAGCUGGUUCUCCCCGAAAGCUAUUUAGGUAGCGCCUCGGACGAACACCAUUGGGGGUAGAGCACUGUUUCGGCUAGGGGGUCAUCCCGACUUACCAAACCGAUGCAAACUCCGAAUACCGAUGAGUGAUAUCCGGGAGACAGACGGCGGGUGCUAACGUCCGUCGUCAAGAGGGAAACAACCCAGACCGCCAGCUAAGGCCCCAAAUUCCUAGUUAAGUGGGAAACGAUGUGGGAAGGCACAGACAGCUAGGAGGUUGGCUUAGAAGCAGCCAUCCUUUAAAGAAAGCGUAAUAGCUCACUAGUCGAGUCGGCCUGCGCGGAAGAUGUAACGGGGCUCAAACUAGGAGCCGAAGCUGCGGAUUUAAUUGUUUCAAUUAAGUGGUAGGGGAGCAUUGUGUAAGCCUGUGAAGGUGUGUUGUAAAGCAUGCUGGAGGUAUCACAAGAGCGAAUGCUGACGUGAGUAACGACAAAACGGGUGAAAAGCCCGUUCGCCGGAAGACCAAGGGUUCCAGUCCAACGUUAAUCGGGGC
rnacentral:rRNA from 1 species